GACGAACGCUGGCGGCGUGCUUAACACACGCAAGUCGAACGGAAAGGCCCUGCUUUUGUGGGGUGCUCGAGUGGCGAACGGGUGAGUAACACGUGAGUAACCUGCCCUUGACUUUGGGAUAACUUCAGGAAACUGGGGCUAAUACCGGAUAGGAGCUCCUGCUGCAUGGUGGGGGUUGGAAAGUUUCGGCGGUUGGGGAUGGACUCGCGGCUUAUCAGCUUGUUGGUGGGGUAGUGGCUUACCAAGGCUUUGACGGGUAGCCGGCCUGAGAGGGUGACCGGCCACAUUGGGACUGAGAUACGGCCCAGACUCCUACGGGAGGCAGCAGUGGGGAAUAUUGCACAAUGGGCGGAAGCCUGAUGCAGCAACGCCGCGUGCGGGAUGACGGCCUUCGGGCUGUAAACCGCUUUCGCCUGUGACGAAGCGUGAGUGACGGUAAUGGGUAAAGAAGCACCGGCUAACUACGUG
rnacentral:rRNA from 1 species